GAUGAACGCUGGCGGCGUGCCUAAUACAUGCAAGUCGAGCGAACAGAUGCGGAGCUUGCUCCUCUGACGUUAGCGGCGGACGGGUGAGUAACACGUGGAUAACCUACCUAUCAGACUGGGAUAACUUCGGGAAACCGGAGCUAAUACCGGAUAAUAUCUUGAACCGCAUGGUUCAAUAGUGAAAGUCGGUUUUGCUGUCACUUAUAGCUGGAUCCGCGCCGCAUUAGCUAGUUGGUAAGGUAACGGCUUACCAAGGCAACGAUGCGUAGCCGACCUGAGAGGGUGAUCGGCGGCACUGGAACUGGGACACGGACCAGACGCCUACGGGAGGCAGCAGUAGGGAAUCUUACGCAAGGGGCGAAAGCCUGACGGAGCAACGCGGAGUGAGAGAUGAAGGUCUUCGGAUCGUAAAAAUCUGUUAUGAGGGAAGAACAAAUGUGUAAGGAACUAUGCACGGAUUGACGGUACCGAAUCAGAAAGCCACGGCUAACUACGUG
rnacentral:rRNA from 1 species